rnacentral:rRNA from 1 species
CCUUGUGGAUCCUAGUGGCGAAGGGGUGAGUAACACGUAGGGAACCUGCCCGCGCACCGGGAAUACGCUCUGGAAACGGAUAACAAAUCCCGAUGUACAGGAAAGAGGCAUCUUCUUUCUGUGAAACAUCCUGUAAGGGAUGGGGCGCGGAUGGACCUGCGGUGCAUUAGUUGGUUGGCGAGGGUAAAGGCCCACCAAAACUAAGAUGCGUAACCGGCCUGAGAGGGCAGACAGCCACAUUGGGACUGAGACACGGUCCACAGACUCCUGCCGGAGGCAGCUGUGAGGUGAAUUUUCUUCAAUGGGCGCAAGCCUGAACGAUCGAUGCCGCGUGAGUGAAGAAGGUCUUCGGGUCGUUACCUCUGUUGCGGGGGAAAAAAGGCAUCGGCAGGAAAUGGUAGAUGACAUAUGGUGCCCCGCCAGAAAGUCACGGCUAACUACGUGCCAACAGCCGCGGUAAUACGUAGGUGGCGAGCGUUAUCCGGAAUGAUUGGGCGUAAAGGGUGCGCACGCGGUCCUGCAAGUCUGGAGUGAAACGUAUGAGCUCAACUCAUGCAUGGCUCUGGAAACU